rnacentral:misc_RNA from 1 species
UACAUCGAUCCUAGAAACCAACAAAAUAGAAUGCGAUGUCCUAUUUCAUUAUUCCAUGCUAAUGUAUUCAAGCGUUAGCCUGCUAUAAACACUCUAAUUUUUUCAAGGUAACAGUCCUAAUUCCCCAAAACAUCAAAUUAAUGACAUUAAGGUUCCUUAGAAGGUGAGAACCAAUAUGACCAGUACACACCAAUGGCAUGACCAAUC